AUUAAAAACCAUCGUGGUAUAACAAAGGUCACUGGUCUUUAUGGAGACUUUCCACAUAAAUAACAUCUGUACUGUUAAGUUUUUUCAUAACGCAUCCAUUUGCAUUAUGAAAGUUGUGACAGCUGCUAGCAUGUGCAGCUUUAGCUAACAGCUUUCUUGUGUUCGCUGUUCGUGUCAUUUUAAAGGAGUUUUAAUGGAACUGUCUGAUAAAUAAUAUUGCCUUCUGUAAGGUUUCCAGUUAGCUGCUAGUCACUUCCUGUGUGGACACACUCAGCUUUAAGCUGAGACUUUAACAGGCGGUCUAAAAUCAGUGAUCUGUGACUACAAUCUGGAAAAGGUGGAUGUUUCACCCAUUUAUCCAUCGUAGGUCACAGGGAGGCUGGAGCCUACUCCAGCUGUUAAAGGGAGAGAGGUAGGGUCCACCUGGAGAGGUCCCAAAUCUGUCACAGGGCCAAAACAAAGACAUAGACAACCAUUCGCACUCACUUUCACACCUACAGCCCAUUUUGAAUCACCAGUUAACCUAACCCCAUGCUUUUUUUUGGACUGUGAGUGGAAGCACCUGGAGACAGAACAUCCAAACUCCCAGGGCCCCAGCCAGAUGGUGGAUUCAAACCCAGGACCUAAUUGCUAAUCCACCUCUCAGUGUAUUUCCGACCUGUGCCAGAGCAGGGGGAGGGGGGCUGAAUCAAGCUUUCAACAGGUUUUCCCUUUGGGUUUUAUUCAGCACUGGGGUUUGAGGUUGACCACACUUCCAGUGACAUUUUGGCACAGAACAACAGCACAGGGUCCAGAGCGGAGUUCUACUAAUACCCGAAACCAGCCCUAAGAUUUAGUGUUCAUAUUUUUUUUAUGCAUAUUUUUGGGCAAACUUUCAAAGAGUUCCAGGGCAGGACGAGCUGCUUGGCAACAGACUCAGUUUAAACAGUCAGGAUCACAUGGAUGACUGCCAAAACCAACUGAGUGUUACCUGCUCGGGAUCCUGGACGUGACUUCCUGUGCUGCUGCGGUAGUAAGGUUUUCAUACAGGAUGUUGAGGGGGCAGAGAGGAUGUGCGAACCCUCAUCGCAUCCUGUGGUUGAGAAUGUUUGCGUGUAUUUGUGGCUGUGUUGUUUUUCAUUCAGUGGAAGACGCAAAAGAUAAAUGGCAAACGUAAAGUCGAACGUGUGAAGUGAUUGUGCCUGUGAUAAGCUUCCAGCGUUUCACUGCUGACUUCAAACACAGAUGUUUCACUUAAUAAAGCCACUGAAUGUCAGUUAAGACAGGUCAG